rnacentral:rRNA from 1 species
GACGAACGCUGGCGGCGUGCUUAACACAUGCAAGUCGAACGGAAAGGCCCUGCUUUUGUGGGGUGCUCGAGUGGCGAACGGGUGAGUAACACGUGAGUAACCUGCCCUUGACUUUGGGAUAACUUCAGGAAACUGGGGCUAAUACCGGAUAGGAGCUCCUGCUGCAUGGUGGGGGUUGGAAAGUUUCGGCGGUUGGGGAUGGACUCGCGGCUUAUCAGCUUGUUGGUGGGGUAGUGGCUUACCAAGGCUUUGACGGGUAGCCGGCCUGGGAGGGUGACCGGCACCAUUGGGACUGAGAUACGGCCCAGCCUCCUACGGGAGGCAGCAGUGGGGAAUAUUGCACAAUGGGCGGAAGCCUGAUGCAGCAACGCCGCGUGCGGGAUGACGGCCUUCGGGUUGUAAACCGCUUUCGCCUGUGACGAAGCGUGAGUGACGGUAAUGGGUAAAGAAGCACCGGCUAACUACGUG